rnacentral:rRNA from 1 species
UACGUAGGGUGCAAGCGUUAAUCGGAAUUACUGGGCGUAAAGCGUGCGCAGGCGGUUGGGUAAGACAGAUGUGAAAUUCCCGGGCUCAACCUGGGAACUGCAUUUGUGACUGCCUGGCUAGAGUGCGGCAGAGGGGAGUGGAAUUCCGCGUGUAGCAGUGAAAUGCGUAGAUAUGCGGAGGAACACCGAUGGCGAAGGCAACUCCCUGGGCCUGCACUGACGCUCAUGCACGAAAGCGUGGGGAGCAAACAGG